UAGGGAAUAUUGCUCAAUGGGGGAAACCCUGAUGCAGCAACGCCGCGUGAGUGAGGAAGUAUUUCGGUAUGUAAAGCUCUAUCAGCAGGGAAGAAAAUGACGGUACCUGACUAAGAAGCCCCGGCUAACUACGUGCCAGCAGCCGCGGUAAUACGUAGGGGGCAAGCGUUAUCCGGAUUUACUGGGUGUAAAGGGAGCGUAGACGGCAUGGCAAGCCAGAUGUGAAAUACCGGGGCUCAACCCCGGGACUGCAUUUGGAACUGUUAAGCUGGAGUGUCGGAGAGGCAGGCGGAAUUCCUAGUGUAGCGGUGAAAUGCGUAGAUAUUAGGAGGAACACCAGUGGCGAAGGCGGCCUGCUGGACGAUGACUGACGUUGAGGCUCGAAAGCGUGGGGAGCAAACAGG
rnacentral:rRNA from 1 species